rnacentral:rRNA from 1 species
AACGACUCUCGGCAACGGAUAUCUCGGCUCUCGCAUCGAUGAAGAACGUAGCGAAAUGCGAUACUUGGUGUGAAUUGCAGAAUCCCGUGAACCAUCGAGUUUUUGAACGCAAGUUGCGCCCGAAGCCUUCGGCUAAGGGCACGUCUGCCUGGGCG